rnacentral:rRNA from 1 species
GACGAACGCUGGCGGCGUGCCUAAUACAUGCAAGUAGAACGCUGAAGGAGGAGCUUGCUUCUCUGGAUGAGUUGCGAACGGGUGAGUAACGCGUAGGUAACCUGCCUGGUAGCGGGGGAUAACUAUUGGAAACGAUAGCUAAUACCGCAUAAGAGUAGAUGUUGCAUGACAUUUGCUUAAAAGGUGCAAUUGCAUCACUACCAGAUGGACCUGCGUUGUAUUAGCUAGUUGGUGAGGUAACGGCUCACCAAGGCGACGAUACAUAGCCGACCUGAGAGGGGGAUCGGCCACACUGGGACUGAGACAAGGCCCAGACUCCUACGGGAGGCAGCCGUAGGGGAUCUUCGGCAAUGGACGGAAGUCUGACCGAGCAACGCCGCGUGAGUGAAGAAGGUUUUCGGAUCGUAAAGCUCUGUUGUAAGAGAAGAACGAGUGUGAGAGUGGAAAGUUCACACUGUGACGGUAUCUUACCAGAAAGGGACGGCUAACUACGUG